rnacentral:rRNA from 1 species
CCUACGGGAGGCUGCAGUGGGGAAUAUUGGGCAAUGGCGGCAACUCUGACCCAGCAACGCCGCGUGAAUGAUGAAGGUCUUCGGCUUGUAAAGUUCUUUUCUAAGGGAAGAAGAAAGUGGCGCUAGCUUAGGAAUAAGCGUCGGCUAACUACGUGCCAGCAGCCGCACUAAGCAGUAGGCGGCAAUCGUUAUCCGGAAUGGCUGGGCGUAAAGGGUUCGUAGGUGGUUUGACAAGUUAGUAGCGCAACUCCGGGGCUCAACCCCGGAACUACUACUAAAACUGUGCGGCUUGAGUGCAGGAGAGGUAAUCGGAAUUCCUAGUGUAGCGGUGAAAUGCGUAGAUAUUAGGAGGAACACCAGUGGCGAAGGCGGCUUGCUAGACUGUAACUGACACUGAGGCACGAAAGCGUGGGGAGCAAACAGGAUUAGAUACCCGUGUAGUC